AGCGAGGUAUAGAGUUCCUACGUUGCGUGUGCGAAAUUGGUAGGAACUUCAUACCGUGCUCU
rnacentral:pre_miRNA from 1 species